CUGGGCAAGGAAUGCUCUCCUAGUUGUUUCCCCACAGUGAACAACCAGCUCAGAACUGAUGGGACAAGGGAAUCCACUGUAAUUAAAACAAUGCAUUUAUGGCCUUAAAUGGGUGUUGACACAAUGAUUCUGCCCAGGCUGAAGUCAAAGUGGGAAAUUAACACGCGGGUAAACGGCGGAGUAAUUGACUCUUAAGGUGCCAAAUGCCUGUCAUCUAAUUAUGACGCGCAUGAAUGGAUAAUGAAUUCCCACUGUCCCUAUCAUGUCUAGCGAAACCACACCAAGGAACGGGCUUGGGUGAGCGCGGGGAAAGAAGACCCUGUUGACUUGACUAUGCUUUGUGAAAUGACCUGGAGGUGUAAAUAAGUGGGAGCGUGGGUAUCUUGAAAUACCCUACUUUAAUGUCAUUUUACUUCUUAUGAACAGUGACUGUGAAGUAUACUUUGGAAAAGGUCGCGUCUGAUUGACCGACUUGUGUAAGGACGCAUAGGUGGGAUUUGGCUGGGGCGGCACAUCUGUUAAAUGAAAUGGUUGUUCAUCGUGUGCGAAUGAGCCCACAAGGGCAAUCUUUGUCCAGCAGCU
rnacentral:rRNA from 1 species